AUGUCUAUCUCUUUCUCUAGUAAUUCUGUAACUCACAUGUGUACUACUUGUGGUGUUAGCAAAGUCUCUCUUCUCAGGGAAUUCUGUAACAAAACAGGAGUACAGAUUACAUUGAAGGAUUACUAGUUUUCCUGACUGCUCCAUUCAAUGAAGAUGAUAUUGCCUGUAUUGUACCUGUUGUUAAGUACACUGAUUUUAAACCUCUUGAAGCCUCUGGUUUGUAUGAGUUGGCUCAGGUUCAGUUGCAGUCUGGUAAUAUUGAAGUUGCUCUUGACCAUCUAUC